AGAGUUUGAUUCUGGCUCAGGAUGAACGCUGGCGGCGUGCUUAACACAUGCAAGUCGAACGGAGUAUAUUUAAAAGCUUGCUUUGUUAUACUUAGUGGCGGACGGGUGAGUAACGCGUGGGUAACCUGCCUUAUACCGGGGGACAACAGUUGGAAACGACUGCUAAUACCGCAUAAGCGCACAGUCUCGCAUGAGACAGUGUGAAAAAACUCCGGUGGUAUAAGAUGGACCCGCGUCUGAUUAGCCAGUUGGCGGUGUAACGGACCACCAAAGCGACGAUCAGUAGCCGGCCUGAGAGGGUGAACGGCCACAUUGGGACUGAGACACGGCCCAAACUCCUACGGGAGGCAGCAGUGGGGAAUAUUGCACAAUGGAGGAAACUCUGAUGCCAGCGACGCCGCGUGAGUGAAGAAGUAUUUCGGUAUGUAAAGCUCUAUCAGCAGGAAAGAAAAUGACGGUACCUGACUAAGAAGCCCCGGCUAACUACGUGCCAGCCGCCGC
rnacentral:rRNA from 1 species